rnacentral:tRNA from 1 species
ACGCGGGGUGGAGCAGUUGGCAGCUCGUCGGGCUCAUAACCCGAAGGUCGCAGGUUCAAGUCCUGCCCCCGCAACC